AGAAGAUGAAACUUUCAUUUACCUUUACCCUAUACGUGGAGAGAUUCUGUGCAUAACCGCUUAAACCAACAGCUGGUAGAUUUUGAUGCAUUUUUAUCUGCUUACACAAGAUCAACUCCCACCAUAAACACUGAAUUCUGUUUAUAACAGAAGGGCAGGAUCCGCGGGUAGCAUAACCAGAGCGCUCCAGGCUCUUUUUUUCCCCCCUUUUCUCAGAGACUCCAGAGGAAUGUGCCUUUGUACUGCCUCACUAGCAUCCCUAAAUCAUGAUUAAUUUAAAGCCUUUUCUCUCCUUAGUUAGGCCUGACACAAGCAACCGCUUUUCUGUCACAUCGAUUUUUCUGUCCUUGCAGAUUCGAAGCCAGGGUUGAGUCCUCCUAACAGGGCGAGUUCUCUGACAAGGAAGUUUUGCAAGCAAAUUUACAGCUGGAGUCAAGCUCGUCAGUGAGGGCCAGAGGGGAACUGUCGCAAUCCACUGGGUGUUUGAAAAAUGCCUCUAACGUGUGUGGGCUAGAAUACAUUUUGUUUUUUCUGUGGGCAUAUUCAUUUAACAAGGGCAGCCUUUGAGGAACGAUCAAAAACUGUUUGUCAUUUUUCCAAAUCAUCUCUCUCUGCGGUGACCAUGACUUAAUCCUGAAGGAAAACAAGUCUUUUCCCUUCUGGUCUCUGUGCUCUCGAAGGACAUUUGGGCCUGAAGUCCCAGGACUUAAGGCUGAUCCUGGCACAGAUGAGGAUAGGAAGAGGUGACUAUGCAAUACUGAAGCUUGAGGAAGACCGAUGGGAGUUCAACCUAAAUUAGACUCGCUCGGGAACAAACUGUCAAAGUUGUUUGAAGUAAAUAAGCAACCUGGAUCCCAGCCCCUUCCUUUCCUUCCUUCAUUCCUUUGUUCUUGGCUUCCUCAUUCCCCCUCCCUACUUCCCUCCCUUCUUCCCUCUCUCUCCAUCUUCCUCUCUCCUCUUGUCUUUUCUUUCUCGCUUUCCCACCCUUUUGUCCUGAAGCGGGAGAAGAGCAAGCUAACACCCAGUUGUAAGUUCUGGAUAAUCAAGAUGUUAUUCCUCAAACGGAGAGAAUUUCCAACACAAAGCCAGAUACCUUUCUACGUGUUACGCAGUCCUUCUAGUCAAAUACUGUGGCCAUGGAGGUAAGGUCAAGCAAGAAAUUGGCAGCAACUCUUCAGAACACGUAUACAACAGCACGGGACCCAUUUACUCCAAUGGAGAAAGGGAGUGUAUCAUGGAAAAGUCGCCGUGGGAAUCACUGCAAGUGGGGCAGAAGCCCCAAUCUGAAUUUGCUACAAGGAUAUUUGGAAGAAUGGCUGCCUUAACUCAGCCAUAGGAUCUGGACAAGGACAGAGGAAAUGGGGUUGGAGAGAAAAGGGAGUUUCUGAGAGGCGUGCACAAGGGAAAAUCAAAGGGACUUAUUGCAGUGUAGGUGUCUAGUGGGUUAGCAUUAAAGGACACAUGUAAGUAGAGGACAGCGGUGACUAAAAGCCAUAAACAGGUGACAUUUUCAUCAGCUGUGAUAGAUGCAAAGUAUCAAAUUCAAAGACUGUUAAACAACCUGCCAUCUCUCUCUUUCUUUCAUUGUUAUCUGUCAUCUAGCUAGCUAGAUAUCAAGUUACUUAUCUCUCCACCAAAUCUCACUUUUAACAAGAGAGAAGUCAUUCACAAAGAAGUGUACAUUAUUGCAAGAAAAGAUAAGUGCAAGAUAAAUAAAAAUUGAAGCAAAGGGAAAGUGAACACAGAACAAAUACAAGGAACUGUGCACAAAAUGUGCCUGACAUGAGGUCCUCUACACAUGCUUGGGUAGACCAGUAGGAGUAGUUGAAUAAGGUAUGGUGAGGAGGGAUUCGUAAAUAAUGACUUAUGUAUUCUAUCAGCUAGCUACGAUAAGAAUCACUUAUGAUGGACAUAAUAUCCAUGUAGUCAAAGUAGACUAGAUAUCUAGAAGAAGCACCACUAUUCCUUAUAUGUAACCAGGGGGUUUCUCCCAGGCCUCCCCAGAAUGGCUUUCAUGCAAAUAUACUUACUGUAAAUCUGGAGACAGAUUUUAUAGAAGUGUUUAUUAGAAUAUUUCUCAGUAUGGGAUGAUGGCCCAGUAUCAAGUACAGUUCAAUAUAAGCUGACCUUUGGGUUUGGAGCCAGGUAGGCCAACAGUUCUAUGCUACUCUAUGAUGGUCAAGUAUGUCUGAGAAGCUAUGUUCAGUUGUGGGACAUACUUUAUCAACGAAAAUUAUCAUUUACAAAGCACCCUGUGCAUACUAUAUUUUUUAUAGAUGCUUGCAGAAUUAAUAAAUGUUUGAAUCAACGUUUGUAGGGACAGGGUUAUAUUUCACUCGUGUAAGAGAGGCUGUUAUUUAUUUAUUUUUUUCCCUCUCCAUGCAAUUGUAUGUCAGUUGUCUACCUUUAGGGUUAAACUGUGAGUUCCACGUGAACAGGAAUUUUGUCUUGUUUGUCUUUGUAGCCCCAAUCACGUCCGGUAUAGGAAGGCAGUCAGAUAAUAGUUUGUUGAAGAAAUAAAUGACUGAGUAAGCACACCGCAGAUUCACACACAGAACUGUGUAUGUGAGAGACUGAUCUAUCAUUUUAUCUCAGGAUAGUUUCAUCUCAGGGUAAGGCAGAAAUGUAAAAUAAUCCUAAAGUUUUGAGGCAAGGUAUUUGUCAUGGAAAAACCACCGGGAAGAAAUGUUUAAAGGGCAUUUGUGUUUAUUCUUGUGGCAUAGAGAACUCCCUUCUCUCUUGUGCAGUAAACAGGGCUCAGCAGCCUAUAUUCUUUCACUGCCUUUCAUACUGUUAGGGCAGCUGCAUUGUUGAACUCCAACAAGCUGUCUGCUUGCGUACUGGUGUAGAGGAUGUUUAGUUGGCGCCGGUGUUAGAGGGGAAGGCUCACAUCCAAUUUCCUCGCCACCUUUGAUUACUGAUCCUCCAGGGAGACGAUUUUAUGAAAAGUGAGAAAAAAUUACAUUUUCCAAAUCCUUCAAUUUCCACAUCCUCCAACUUGUUCUCCAUCUUUAGAGACAGCACACAGUUGUGGUUGAAAGCCUAGGCUCCGGAGCCCCAGGAUCAGAGUUCAACUUUUGGCUGCACCACUUAUGUAUCGUGUGGCACUGGGCCCACCACUUAACCAUUUGUGCCUCAGUGUUUUCAUCAGUAAAGGAGAAAUAAUAAUACUACUACCUACAUCAAAGAGGUGUUGGAAGGAUUAAAUAAUUCAUGCAAAGCAGUUAAAAGUGACUGCCACAUAGUACUCAAAAGAUGUUAGCUAAUAUUAUUAUUGUUCACUGAUGCUUCCUUGCUGUUGGUUUUUGCCAUGUUUCAUAUAAAAAUAUUUAUAGUCAAGAAUAAAAUGAGAAUAUCGUCACAUAUCUAGUAUGCUCAAAAUAUUACUAGCCUAUACAGGGAAUAUUAACAUUGCCCUCUAAGACCUUAUGAUCUACGUACUGAGGCAAAGUACAGAACUCACGAGAAAUAGGAACAUGUACAAAUAGGAGUAGGAACAUGUACAACAAUGCAAACAACACCACAUGGUGGUAACUUGCCAUUUGGCAAAUCAUGUACAUAUAUAUAUGGACA